rnacentral:tRNA from 1 species
GGCCCGUUAGCUCAGUGGUUUGAGCGCGGUGCUGACAACAAUGACAACACCAGAGUCGCGGGUUCGAUUCCCACUUGGUCCC